UGCAGAUGAAGGCUGGAAGAAGGUGUGUAUGAGCUGAUCCAGUGGAUCCAGUCAAUCCAGCAGCAUGGAUCAGUGUGAGGACACACAGGGGGGAGCCCCUCCCUCUAAAAAAAGGAGGGAUGGAAAACGUAAGGGCCAGAGCAAAGCUCAGAGGAACCAACCUAGACCUGGAUCUGGAUCUGGAUCUGGAUGCAGCUCUGAGUCCUUCAGGAGUGACAACUCAAAGGAUUUACCUCUAAACUUCAAAUACAUCAGUUCAGGAGAGAAAUGCAUUCAACAGAGUUUUGGAACUGGAUCUGUAUCUCAAUCCAGCAGUGUGUCUUUCAAGAGUGACAUGUCGAAGGGUGUUAAUCCUGGUUUCGGUUCAGGAAUGGAAC